CCUACGGGAGGCAGCAGUGGGGAAUAUUGCACAAUGGGGGAAACCCUGAUGCAGCGACGCCGCGUGAGUGAAGAAGUAAUUCUUUAUGUAAAGCUCUAUCAGCAGGGAAGAAAAUGACGGUACCUGAGUACUAAGCCCCGGCUAACUACGUGCCAGCAGCCGCGGUCAUACGUAGGGGGCAAGCGUUAUCCGGAUUUACUGGGUGUAAAGGGAGCGUAGACGGGAGUGCAAGUCUGGAGGGAAAGACGGGGGCUCAACCCCCGGACUGCUCUGGAAAAUGUAGGGCUGGAGUGCAGGAGAGGUAAGUGGAAUUCCUAGUGUAGCGGUGAAAUGCGUAGAUAUUAGGAAGAACACCAGUGGCGAAGGCGGCAUACUGGACUGUAACUGACGUUGAGGCUCGAAAGCGUGGGGAGCAAACAGGAUUAGAUACCCUUGUAGUC
rnacentral:rRNA from 1 species